rnacentral:rRNA from 1 species
CGGCAUGCCUAACACAUGCAAGUCGAACGAGACCUUCGGGUCUAGUGGCGCACGGGUGCGUAACGCGUGAGAAUCUGCCCUUGGGUUCGGAAUAACAGCGAGAAAUUGCUGCUAAUACCGGAUGAUGACGUAAGUCCAAAGAUUUAUCGCCCAAGGAUGAGCCCGCGUAGGAUUAGCUAGUUGGUGAGGUAAAGGCUCACCAAGGCGACGAUCCUUAGCUGGUCUGAGAGGAUGAUCAGCCACACUGGGACUGAGACACGGCCCAGACUCCUACGGGAGGCAGCAGUGGGGAAUAUUGGACAAUGGGCGAAAGCCUGAUCCAGCAAUGCCGCGUGAGUGAUGAAGGCCUUAGGGUUGUAAAGCUCUUUUACCCGGGAUGAUAAUGACAGUACCGGGAGAAUAAGCUCCGGCUAACUCCGUG